UUGGGUAAUUAAAACCCAAAGGGGUAAUAAAAGUAAAGRGUAAUUUAAUUUCUAAAAAUUUUUUUAAUUAAAACUUUUAAGAAUUAAAUUCUUAAAGGAAGAAAGAUUUAAUUUUUUUUCAUUAAAAGAAUUUUUUUUUUUUUUUUUAAUGGAAAUCUUGCAUUCCUAGGGCGCUUGUCUCUCGCAUUGCGAGUAUAUGCGCACCUAGAGCGUACACGAUGAUACCCGAAAGAUGGUGAACUAUGCCGGGCCAGGACGAAGCCAGGGGAAACCCUGGUGGAGGUCCGCAGCGAUUCUGACGUGCAAAUCGAUCGUCAGAGCUGGGUAUAGGGGCGAAAGACCAAUCGAACCAUCUAGUAGCUGGUUCCCUCUGAAGUUUCCCUCAGGAUAGCUUGCGCUCAUUAAAUUUUUUUAUUGAGUCUCAUCCGGUAGAGCGAAUGAUUAGAGGCAUUGGGGUCGAAACGACCUCAACCUAUUCUCAAACUCCAAAUAGAUGAGAACCUCGGCUUUCUUAAAAUUGAAGCCGCAGGAUUUGGA
rnacentral:rRNA from 1 species